rnacentral:rRNA from 1 species
UACGAAGGGGGCUAGCGUUGCUCGGAAUCACUGGGCGUAAAGCGCACGUAGGCGGAUUGCUAAGUCAGGGGUGAAACCCUGGAGCUCAACUCCAGAACUGCCCUUGAUACUGGCGGUCUCGAGUCCGGGAGAGGUGAGUGGAACUGCGAGUGUAGAGGUGAAAUUCGUAGAUAUUCGCAAGAACACCAGUGGCGAAGGCGGCUACCUGGACAAUUGCUGACGCUCAGGCACGAAAGCGUGGGGAGCAAAAGGG